rnacentral:sRNA from 1 species
CGCAAGGCCCCGGGUUCGGUCCCUAGCUCCGAAAAAAAGUUAAAAGAAAAAAUAGACAACUAAAAUACGUCCUAGUUUACAGCACUUACUCUCAAACACCUUCUAUCUAACUAUUGUUAGAGCUACCCAGCAUAAAGACAAAGCAGUCAGAUAACCUGAGAUGCUAAAAAGUAAAAGAGUUACUUCUAACUUUAAACAGUUAUUAUUCCCCGGAGGGGGUGCACCGUUCCUGGAGGUACUGCAAUACCAGGUCGAUGCGUGGAGUGGACGGAGCAAGCUCCUAUUCCAACUCCUAGUUCCAAAAAUCCAUUUAAUAUAUUGUCCUCGGAUAGAGGACGUAUCAGAUAUUAAACUGAUAAGAACAGAUACUACACUUGAUCUUAGCCAAAAGGCCGAGAAGCGAUGCCUGGCACCCAGCACGCAGCCAAGCUCUGCGUCCGCAAGACACAUUUACUUCGUGGUGACCGCCCGAAAAAAAACCCUCACUUCCUGCCUUUCUCACGGCCCCCUCCUCCUUCCGUUCGCCCCCGCAUCCUUCACCCCUCACUCCCUCUCCAGUACCCACAGCUUCACUACAAUUCCCACGAUCGCGGCUCUCCCGGCGUUCCCGCGCGCGCACGCGGACUCUGAUUUACAUGUCCCGCCCCCUCGCGAGGGGCGUGGCGACACCGAUGCCUGCUGACUGCUGCCUCUGAGCCGCGUUCAGGAGUUUUGGGAACAUUUUUACUUUGGUCUCCAAGGAGGAAGGCUGCGGCAUUGUGGUGGGCAAUGCUCUAGAGGAGACGCGGUGGCGGAUGGUGGCAGAAAGGGGCACACCUACUGUUCCUAGUUUGCGUUUGAGUGAGCUGGCAGACGAGCUUCUCCGAUCCGCGGAAGGUCAACUUCCGAGUCGAGAGGGCAGCGCGGGGAUAUAGAAUCCCGCGGACUCCGAGGGGUUCAAUCCCACCGGGCACUGCGGCUGCGCGCCGUCACCCCUCCCCGCCCCCAACUUCGAGACUGACUCCGUUCUCUCCCCUCCCUAUCCUGGUCACUUAGCGACCGCAUGGGUGUCUCCGCCUCCCGCGGCUCCUGCGCCUGCCCAAAUUAGAUAUGGUCCCGGUAUUUUACCUAGUCUUGCUAGUAGAAGUGGGGCAGGCUCCGGGAAAAUGCUUUGUAUUCACGAUCCUCAGAUAUUCACAAACCCAGGAUGCUGGAAAACAAUGGCUGAGUGGUUAGGAGCACUUGUAUGCUCUUGCAGGAUCCAGAUUCAAACCUGUUGACUGACUGAGCUGGCUUGGUCACCGAUCUGAGUAAAAACUUACACAGUUUCCUUGUGAUGACUAAAGAGACAAUAUGGAGCCAGGCAUCCCAUAAGAGCCGUGGACUUUUUGAUCAGGAGUGCCAGAGAUCCUAGUGGCCUGCAGGGGUCCAGACCCACCGGUUGAGAACUGCUGCAUGAGACCUUUACAGUCCCAAGAAGAAGGUGGAGGGGAAUUUGAUAAUACAGUCCUGUGAUCCUACCACGUGGGCAGUGGAGGUGUAAUGGGAUCCGGUGCCCUCUUCCGGUGUGCAUGAAGAGCAGUCA